AAUACCGCAUAAGCUCGAGAGAGGGAAAGCAGCAAUGCGCAGAGGGAGGGGUCCGCGGUCGAUUAGCUUAGUUGGUGAGGUAAUGGCUCACCAAGGCUGUGAUCGAUAUGCCGGCCUGAGAGGGCACACGGCCACACUGGCACUGAAACACGGGCCAGACUCCUUACGGGAGGCAGCAGUGGGGAAUCUUGCACAAUGGGGGAAACCCUGAUGCAGCGACGCCGCGUGAGCGAUGAAGCCCUUCGGGGUGUAAAGCUCUUUCGACGGGAACGAUAAUGACGGUACCUGGCGGAAGCAAGCUGCGGCUAACUACCGUGCCAGCAGCCGCGGUAAUACGUAGGCAGCAAGCGUUGUUCGGAGUUACUGGGCGUAAAGGGUGCGUAGGCGGUCCUAUAAGUAUGGUGUGAAAUCUCCCGGUUC
rnacentral:rRNA from 1 species